UCAAUACUGCAUGCUUUCUUUGGUUAAAUUUUCAUUACAUAGUUCUUCCCUAGUGGCUAGAAGGUGUAAGCAAUGGAACCAAAAGAACGGAGGCUUAAUGGAGGCCUUGGGCUGAUACCUGGUCUCUUUCAAUAGCACUGGAGCCUCAAGGAUCGUGUUCGCUUUGGGGCAGUCUGUAAACGCUAGCUGGAGAUCAGCCUCCAGAUACAAGAUCCAUUGUCUUGCGCUCAAGUGGCUCAAUAGCCCUCAUGAUGAUUUUGAGUGACAGUGAAAGUAGUUCUGAUUGUGAGAUCAGUGAUGAUGGCUACAGAUUUUUCCAAUGGGCUAUCGAGUUUGAUAUCCCUUUAUUCUGUGGCAGUAGCAGCUCAAGCUCUAGAUUUGGAUCAAAGAUGACGAUGACAUUUUGCUGCUAAAGGAUUGGAUCUGGGAGCUCAUUUUAGAAGCUUGGAUGUACCUAACCUUACUUGAAAAUGCCCUGAUUUCUUUUUAAUUUUGAUGAUAGCCUAAAUGCCCUUCAACCUUUUGUUUAGAUUUAUCAUUGUUUAGGCAUGGAACUUCUCGACCCAAGGGUAAACUGUGAAUGAUGACUUGGAGUGUAUAUCUGUAAUGUGUUUCUGUUGCUAAAUUAUUGAACCAAGAGGUUGUUCUUUGCAUUCACGAUGCUUUUGUUGGAUGAAAUGAUUAACGAUUUAACUAUACAGGUAUGCAAGCGGAGGGUGAUCCUUGUAUAUAUUAUUCACAAGUUUUAUGAGUAUGAAAAUUCAUACAACUGUUGCCGAUCCUUACAUUGGAGGCCCAAUGCACAAUAUUUGUCGAUAUCAGAAAGCUGUUCAAAUUUCCUUAUUAGUGUCAGCUAAUUAAGGGAUGCAAGUAAGUUGGCUUUCUGCUCCCCAUGCCCACGCAUGUCCAUCAGUAUCCAGCACCAGUUCAGAGAUCCCCCGUGUUGAACAACAGGUAACAACUACUACUGACUUUUAGCAUCUGUUGCUUUCACCUUCAGUCUUGUUUUCGAAAA